rnacentral:rRNA from 1 species
UAAGUGCACAUGGUGGAUGCCUUGGCGAUUACAGGCGAUGAAGGACGUAGUAGCUUGCGAUAAGCUGCGGGGAGUGAGCAAACACACUUUGAUCCGCAGAUUUCCGAAUGGGGAAACCCCUCCUUUAUGGAGAUCGUGGUCUGAAUUCAUAGGACUACGAGGCGAACCCGGGGAACUGAAACAUCUCAGUACCCGGAGGAAAGGAAAUCAACCGAGACUCCCCGAGUAGUGGCGAGCGAAAGGGGAACAGCCUAAACCC